UUCAUGCUUGCUUCACAUAUGCUAAAAUUGGAACGAUACAGAGAAGAUUAACAUGGCCCCUGAGCAAGGAUGACACACAAAUUCGUGAAGCAUUACAUAUUUUU